AGAAGAAUAUGUUUUCUGCCCGUCAUACAUGUUUGAUGUUGCCCCUCUGAAACAUGAGUAUUAUUCCAUUCCCAUUUUUUCAGUGUGAAAAGCAUAGAGGCAGAUAUUUAUUGCAGCUUAGCCUCGACUAUCACUGCUCUAAGAAAAACACACCAUUAGCCUUUGGAGUUGUUGUGGUUAUCACCAAUCAAGUAGUGGCACAAGUGGAUGGGUCUGCGAUGUUUGCUGGGCCACAAGUGGAUUCCUUGUAUACUGAAUUUGAAUGUAUGUUUAUUUUUCAGACUAAUAGCAUGUAGCAAUUGAUUUCUAAUUUUUAAAAUCUACAUGUGCAAGUUUGCUCUCAUGAAUGUAGACAGUGCCACAGCUCUGUACAGAACUGAUUUUUGCAUGCAGCAUGAAGAUGAAGGAUAAGAAGAGGCGAUGUCUUCGACUGGUUGGAGAGCCAACCUGGGCGUCAAAGAAGAGGCGACAGACCAAUGAGGCAGAUCACGGGGCGUCGGCGAGCCGGCAGACCUCGGGGCGUCGGUGUUGGCAACCAGUGUUAUCACGGAGCAUCGGCGAGGCGGCAGUCCUCGGGCGUCGGCGAGGCGGCAGACCUCGGGGCGUCGGUGUUGGCAACCAGUGUUUGCCAAGAAGGCAGACGUCGGAGAAGAGACGGCAGACCACUGGGCAGCGAGGUGGUUGCCGUACGGAAGGCAUCGGAGAAGAGAUGGCAGCGUAAGAGUGAGAAGAGACGGCAGCGUGAGGGGAGAGAUGAUUUCCUAUUCCGCCCAGCUGAUUCAUAGGGAUACGUCUGGGCUGAUUGGUUUCCUUGUACGUCUGCGCUGAUUGGUUUCCUUGUAUGUCUAGGCUGAUUUUUUUCCUUGUAUGUCUCGGCUGAUAGCUGAUUGACUGCUGGAUUGCAUGCUGAUUGAUUGCUGGAUUCCUUGUA